rnacentral:rRNA from 1 species
UACGGAGGGGGCUAGCGUUGUUCGGAAUUACUGGGCGUAAAGCGCACGUAGGCGGCUUUGUAAGUUAGAGGUGAAAGCCCGGGGCUCAACUCCGGAAUUGCCUUUAAGACUGCAUCGCUAGAAUUGUGGAGAGGUAAGUGGAAUUCCGAGUGUAGAGGUGAAAUUCGUAGAUAUUCGGAAGAACACCAGUGGCGAAGGCGACUUACUGGACACAUAUUGACGCUGAGGUG